rnacentral:misc_RNA from 1 species
GAAGAACGUAGCGAAAUGCGAUAAGUAAUGUGAAUUGCAGAAUUCAGUGAAUCAUCGAAUCUUUGAACGCACAUUGCGCCCGCCAGUAUUCUGGCGGGCAUGCCUGUUCGAGCGUCAUUACAACCCUCAGGCCCCCGGGCCUGGCGUUGGGGAUCGGCGGAAGCCCCCUGUGGGCACACGCCGUCCCUCAAAUACAGUGGCGGUCCCGCCGCAGCUUCCAUUGCGUAGUAGCUAACACCUCGCAACUGGAGAGCGGCGCGGCCAUGCCGUAAAACACCCAACUUCUGAAUGUUGACCUCGAAUCAGGUAGGAAUACCCGCUGAACUUAAGCAUAUCAAUAAGCGGAGGA